rnacentral:rRNA from 1 species
AUGAAUAUUUCGCUUAUGGCCCCUUAUUCGGUUGAGGAAGUAAGGAAAGCACUAUUUGACAUUGGGGACUUUAAAGCGCAGGGACAAAACGGACUGCAUUCCGUUUUUUAUAAGCAGAUUUGGCCGAUGCUUGGAGAGGAUUUAGUUGAGGAAGUCUUGCAUGCCAUAAACUCUUGUUCUAUGCCGCAGGGGUGGAAUGACACUAUUAUUGUGAUGGUCCCUAAAGUGCAAUCACCAGAGAAGGUAACCCAAUUUCGACCGAUUAGUCUUUGCAAUGUUGUUUACAAAGUCAUCUCCAAGAUGUUAGCUAGCCGGUUGAAGCCUCUACUUCUGAGACCCACUCAGAGUGCUUUUGUUCCUGGGAGAUUAAUUACAGUUAAUGUUUUGAUUGCAUAUGAGAGCCUUCACACAAUAAAGAAUAAAAGGUCAGGGAAGGAUGGCUGGUGUCCGGUAAAAUUGGAUAUGCAUAAAGCUUAUGACCGUGUUGAGUGGGUCUUUCUGGAAGCUAUGCUUUUAAAACUUGGAUUCCAUGCAACUUGGGUGAAGCUUGUCAUGCUCUGUGUAAGCUUACUUGAGUAUCGGGUUCGGUUUAAUUCUGACGAGACAGAGUGUUUUAAGCCCACCAGAAGGUUGCGGCAAGGGGACCCUCUCUCCCCUUAUCUUUUCCUUCUUUGUACAGAAGGUCUCACGGAUUUGCUAUCACAUGUUGAGGAAACGGCUGAUCUUAUUGGGGUCAAAGUUUGUCGGGAUGCUCCAGCUGUGACAAAUCUAUUGUUUGUGGAUGAUUCGCUAAUCUUAAUGAAAGCCAAUGAUCAAAAUGCUGAAUGUUUGAAACCUAUACUAGACCUAUAUUGUUCGGCCUCAAGACAGAAGGUGAGUGUUGAGAAGUCAAGUGUAUUUUUCAGUCCUAGUACACCAGUUGAGAUGCGAGUUCAAGUAUGCACAAUACUAGAUAUUAUGACAGAAUCUUUAAAAGACAAUUUGGGGCUUCCGGCCACAGUUGGGCUAGAUAGGAGUGAUAGUUUCCAAUACUUGAUUGACUGGAUAAUUCAGAGAAUUAGUGGGUGGAAAGAGAAAGUUUUAUCAACAGGUGGAAAGGAGGUAUUACUCAAAUCGGUGGCACAAGCAAUACCAUCAUAUGCUAUGUCGGUCUUCAAAAUCCCUAAAAAAAUUGUAAGGGAAUUACGGAUGCGAUGGCUCAAUAUUGGUGGGGUGAUGAUGCUACCCAAAAGAGAAUGCACUGGUUUGCCUGGUGGAAAGUGUGUGUACCAAAGAAAGAAGGGGGAAUGGGUUUCAGAGGUAUAUAUUGUUUCAAUCUUGCUCUAUUGGCCAAAUAAGCUUGGCGUUUGA